GAUGAACGCUGGCGGCGUGCCUAAUACAUGCAAGUCGAGCGAACGGACGAGAAGCUUGCUUCUCUGAUGUUAGCGGCGGACGGGUGAGUAACACGUGGAUAACCUACAUAUAAGACUGGGAUAACUUCGGGAAACCGGAGCUAAUACCGGAUAAUAUUUUGAACCGCAUGGUUCAAAAGUGAAAGACGGUCUUGCUGUCACUUAUAGAUGGAUCCGCGCUGCAUUAGCUAGUUGGUAAGGUAACGGCUUACCAAGGCAACGAUGCAUAGCCGACCUGAGAGGGUGAUCGGCCACACUGGAACUGAGACACGGUCCAGACUCCUACGGGAGGCAGCAGUAGGGAAUCUUCCGCAAUGGGCGAAAGCCUGACGGAGCAACGCCGCGUGAGUGAUGAAGGUCUUCGGAUCGUAAAACUCUGUUAUUAGGGAAGAACAUAUGUGUAAGUAACUGUGCACAUCUUGACGGUACCUAACCAGAAAGCCACGGCUAACUACGUG
rnacentral:rRNA from 1 species